GCUGCCGUGGCGCAACUGGUUAGCGCGUGCGGCUGUUAGACAUGUACUAGACAUAGCAAACCGCAAGGUUGGUGGUUCAAGUCCACCCGGUAGCG